AAUAUUGUCAGCUUAAUGAAAUUAUAAAAAUUAAAAGAAAAAGGUCAGACAAUUCGGACACUCUAAGCAUGAGUUGCCAGUUGUUGUUUUCUCUCUCUCUCUCCUGAGAUGGAACGCAUUAUAACCAAACCUCAAAAUUAGAACAAUGAUACCAUUUCCCACCCCACAUCGUAUAAAAAAAUAUAUAAUUAAGUCAACAACCCCACCCCCCUUCAAAAAAUGUAAUAAAAACGCCCCUAUACACUUUACGAAGAUGCAACGCCUCGAGCAAAUGCAUCAAAGAAUUGUUCCUGUGCGACGGAUACGCAGACUGUCCGAACAGCGACGACGAAGCCAGUGCCACGUGCGCCGUCUGCCCUGCUGCCAAGCCCCUGCGAUGCCCGUCUGGCGAAUGCAUAAGCGAAGCGUGGCUGUGCGACCUGGCCGCUGAGUGCAAGGAUGGGUGGGACGAGUCGAACUGCACCAACUGCCCCGCCCAGACGCCCUUCAGGUGCAACGUUACAGGAAAAUGCCUUCCCUUAGUAUGGGUUUGCGAUGGCGAGAGCGACUGUUCCACCGCGCAAGAACAGGACGACACCGACGAGGCCUCCUGCGACCCGUGUCCCGCCUUCAAAGCCAACCGGUGCGCAGACGACUCCGCCUGCUACCCCGACAGCUGGCGGUGCAACGAGCAGAGCGACUGCGCUGACGGCUCGGAUGAGAGGAACUGCUUCGUGUAGAAUUCUGGGCGAAGGGAGGGAAGGAGGGAGGGAGGAAGGAAGGAAGGAGGGAGGAAGGAAGGAUGG